AGUCAAGUAAUUAAGUGCAUGUGGUGGAUGCCUUGGCAGUCAGAGGCGAUGAAAGACGUGAUAGCCUGCGAAAAGCUCCGGGGAGGCGGCAAAUAUCCUUUGAUCCGGAGAUGUCUGAAUGGGGGAACCCACCUACUUUAAGGUAGGUAUUGCAACAUGAAUACAUAGUGUUGCAAGGCGAACGAGGGGAAGUGAAACAUCUCAGUACCCUUAGGAAAAGAAAUCAAUUGAGAUUCCCUCAGUAGCGGCGAGCGAACGGGGAUCAGCCCAUUAAGUUAUGUGUGUUUUAGUGGAACGCUCUGGGAAGUGCGAACGUAGAGGGUGAUAUUCCCGUACACGAAAGGGCACACAUAAUGAUGACGAGUAGGGCGAGGCACGUGAAACCUUGUCUGAAUAUGGGGGGACCAUCCUCCAAGGCUAAAUACUCCUGACUGACCGAUAGUGAACCAGUACCGUGAGGGAAAGGCGAAAAGAACCCCUGUGAGGGGAGUGAAAUAGAUCCUGAAACCGCAUGCAUACAAGCAGUGGGAGCACCUUCGUGGUGUGACUGCGUACCUUUUGUAUAAUGGGUCAGCGACUUAUAUUCAGUAGCGAGGUUAACCGUAUAGGGGAGCCGUAGAGAAAUCGAGUCUUAAUAGGGCGUUUAGUUGCUGGGUAUAGACCCGAAACCAGGCGAUCUAUCCAUGAGCAGGUUGAAGGUUGGGUAACACUAACUGGAGGACCGAACCCACUGUCGUUGAAAAGCCAGGGGAUGACUUGUGGAUAGGGGUGAAAGGCUAAUCAAGCCUGGUGAUAGCUGGUUCUCCCCGAAAGCUAUUUAGGUAGCGCCUCGGACGAAUACCAUAGGGGGUAGAGCACUGUUUCGGCUAGGGGGUCAUCCCGACUUACCAAACCGAUGCAAACUCCGAAUACCUAUGAGUACUAUCCGGGAGACAGACUGCGGGUGCUAACGUCCGUAGUCAAGAGGAAAACAAUCCAGACCGCCAGCUAAGGCCCCAAAAUCAUAGUUAAGUGGGAAACGAUGUGGGAAGGCAUAGACAGCUAGGAGGUUGGCUUAGAAGCAGCCACCCUUUAAAGAAAGCGUAAUAGCUCACUAGUCGAGUCGGCCUGCGCGGAAGAUGUAACGGGGCUAAAACUAUGUGCCGAAGCUGCGGAUGUAUACUUUGUAUACGUGGUAGGGGAGCGUUCUGUAAGCCGAUGAAGGUGUGUUGAGAAGCAUGCUGGAGGUAUCAGAAGUGCGAAUGCUGACGUGAGUAACGACAAAACGGGUGAAAAACCCGUUCGCCGAAAGACCAAGGGUUCCAGUCCAACGUUAAUCGGGGCUGGGUGAGUCGACCCCUAAGGCGAGGCCGAAAGGCGUAGUCGAUGGGAAAAUGGUUAAUAUUCCAUUACUUCUGUGUAAUGCGAUGAGAGGACGGAGAAGGCUAAAUCAGCCUGGCGUUGGUUGUCCAGGUGAAAGGAUGUAGGCAUGUAUCUUAGGCAAAUCCGGGGUACUCUAUGCUGAGAUCUGAUAGCAAGCUGUACUUGUACAGCGAAGUGGUUGAUGCCAUGCUUCCAGGAAAAGUCUCUAAGCUUCAGUUACACAGGAAUCGUACCCGAAACCGACACAGGUGGUCAGGUCGAGUAGACCAAGGCGCUUGAGAGAACUCUGCUGAAGGAACUAGGCAAAAUGGUACCGUAACUUCGGGAGAAGGUACGCUGUUGUUGGUGAUGGAACUUGCUUCCUGAGCUGACGACAGCCGCAGAAACCAGGCCGCUGCAACUGUUUAUUAAAAACAUAGCACUCUGCAAACACGAAAGUGGACGUAUAGGGUGUGAUGCCUGCCCGGUGCUGGAAGGUUAAUUGAUGGGGUUAGCGUAAGCGAAGCUCUUGAUCGAAGCCCCAGUAAACGGCGGCCGUAACUAUAACGGUCCUAAGGUAGCGAAAUUCCUUGUCGGGUAAGUUCCGACCUGCACGAAUGGCAUAAUGAUGGCGGCGCUGUCUCCAGCAGAGGCUCAGUGAAAUCGAAAUCGCUGUGAAGAUGCAGUGUACCCGCGGCUAGACGGAAAGACCCCGUGAACCUUUACUGCAGCUUGACACUGAACUUUGACCUUACUUGUGUAGGAUAGGUGGGAGGCUUUGAAGCUGGAACGCUAGUUCCAGUGGAGCCGUCCUUGAAAUACCACCCUGGUAAUGUUGAGGUUCUAACUCUGUCCCGUGAUCCGGGACGAGGACCGUGUCUGGUGGGUAGUUUGACUGGGGCGGUCUCCUCCUAAAGAGUAACGGAGGAGUACGAAGGUGCGCUCAGCGUGGUCGGAAAUCACGCGUAGAGUAUAAAGGCAAAAGCGCGCUUAACUGCGAGACCCACAAGUCGAGCAGGUACGAAAGUAGGUCUUAGUGAUCCGGUGGUUCUGUAUGGAAGGGCCAUCGCUCAACGGAUAAAAGGUACUCUGGGGAUAACAGGCUGAUACCGCCCAAGAGUUCAUAUCGACGGCGGUGUUUGGCACCUCGAUGUCGGCUCAUCUCAUCCUGGGGCUGAAGCAGGUCCCAAGGGUAUGGCUGUUCGCCAUUUAAAGAGGUACGCGAGCUGGGUUUAGAACGUCGUGAGACAGUUCGGUCCCUAUCUACCGUGGGCGCUGGAAAUUUGAGAGGAUCUGCUCCUAGUACGAGAGGACCAGAGUGGACGAACCUCUGGUGUACCGGUUGUGACGCCAGUCGCAUCGCCGGGUAGCUAUGUUCGGAAGGGAUAACCGCUGAAAGCAUCUAAGCGGGAAGCCUACCUCAAGAUAAGAUUUCCCUAGGACUUUAUGUCCUCUAAAGAGCCGUUCGAGACUAGGACGUUGAUAGGUUGGAUGUGGAAGCAUAGUGAUAUGUGAAGCUGACCAAUACUAAUUGCUCGUGAGGCUUGACUAUACAACACCC
rnacentral:rRNA from 3 species